rnacentral:rRNA from 1 species
AACGCGAAGAACCUUACCUAAGCUUGACAUCCCACUGACCUCUCCCUAAUCGGAGAUUUCCCUUCGGGGACAGUGGUGACAGGUGGUGCAUGGUUGUCGUCAGCUCGUGUCGUGAGAUGUUGGGUUAAGUCCCGCAACGAGCGCAACCCUUGCCUUUAGUUGCCAGCAUUAAGUUGGGCACUCUAGAGGGACUGCCAGGGAUAACCUGGAGGAAGGUGGGGAUGACGUCAAAUCAUCAUGCCCCUUAUGCUUAGGGCUACACACGUGCUACAAUGGGUGGUACAGAGGGCAGCCAAGUCGUGAGGCGGAGCUAAUCCCUUAAAGCCAUUCUCAGUUCGGAUUGUAGGCUGAAACUCGCCUACAUGAAGCUGGAGUUACUAGUAAUCGCAGAUCAGAAUGCUGCGGUGAAUGCGUUCCCGGGUCUUGUACACACCG